UACAGAGGGUGCGAGCGUUGUCCGGAAUCACUGGGCGUAAAGGGCGCGUAGGCGGUGGGGUAAGCGUGUGGUGAAAGCUCGGGGCUCAACUCCGAGUCGGCCAUGCGAACUGCUUCACUGGAGCACACUAGAGGCGGAUGGAAUUCCGGGUGUAGCGGUGGAAUGCGUAGAGAUCCGGAAGAACACCGGUGGCGAAGGCGGUCCGCUGGGGUGUUGCUGACGCUGAGGCGCGACAGCGUGGGGAG
rnacentral:rRNA from 1 species